UGGACCGGUGCCCGGGCAGGCCUGGGCCCACAGGAGUCAGGGGGAUGACUCUGGGCAGGGACAGAGCGAAGGGAAGGUUGGAGUGUGAGGAACCCCAUCGUCCAAGCCCCCCACCCACUCCCCACACUCCACCUGCCCGAGGAGCCUCCCCGCCCGGGCAGGGGUGGAGGGCUGAAGGCCGGGGUAGGAGCAGCCAGUGGGUACGGAGUGAACGGUGAGACAGCAGGAGCCGACAGGAGGUGGAGACAGGCCUGGGAUACAGGAGACGCAGCCCUGCCGAGCCCGCCCCCAUCGUGGCCACCAGCUGGGGCCACUCACUGUCCAGUCACAGGCAUCUCCAGGGGACGGUCACAUGAGAGGCAGUGGAAGUGUGCCAGGAGCUGCCUGUGAGGAGGUGGAACACACACAGGGCCUCACCUCCGCAUGGCGGCUGCCUCGUCCACCUGGUAGAGCGGAGAACGUUCUUUGAGCUGCAGUCGCAAGGAUUUCCAGCCAUCCUCCAGUGACUGCUUCACUGGGUCCAGCUCCAGGCGGUCCAGCUGUGGGUGAGGGCGGGGCCCAGGAGCCUGUCCAGCAUCUUCUGCCAGUCCCCCUCCCGCCCGCUCAUCUUGGCCACCAGCUCCUGCAUCAUGUGGUUCAGCUGCUCCGUGGUGGCGUCAAACUGG